rnacentral:rRNA from 1 species
AUGGGCCAAAUGGCGAUUGCAACUGCUACAUCUGGUAUUGCAGCAUCGAUAAUGCCUGGAGGACGGACAGCACACUCUCGGUUCAAAAUACCAAUCAAGCUCACUGACAAUAGUAUGUGCAGUUUCACAAAACAAAGUGGUACAGUGGAGUUGCUUAGACAGGCAUCCUUGAUAAUUUGGGACGAAGUCGCUAUGACAAAACGUCAAGCAGUUGAGACGCUUGAUAGAUCACUACAGGAUAUAAUGGAAUGUUCUUUGCCGUUUGGAGGAAAGGUUGUCGUCUUUGGUGGUGAUUCCAGGCAGGUCCUACCUGUUGUGACACGUGGGACAAGAGCGCAGAUCACGGAUGCUACACUUCUGAGAUCCUAUCUUUGGGAGAAGACCCGCAGGAUACGUCUCACACGCAAUAUGCGGGCACAGGCUGAUCCUUGGUUCUCGGAAUACCUCCUAAGGAUAGGCAAUGGAACUGAAGAGACAAUUGGCAACGACUAUGUCCGUCUCCCUGACGACAUUGUCAUUGGCUAUACCGAGGAUGAAAAAGCUAUUAACAUGCUCAUCGAAGAUGUCUUCCCAUCGUUGCAUGCCAAUGCUACAUCCAGAGAGUACAUGAGUGCACGUGCUAUUCUAUCGACCAAGAACGAUCAUGUCGAUGACCUGAAUGACAAGAUGAUCUCCAGGUUUCCAGGUGAAGAAAAGUUAUACCAUAGUUUUGACUCAAUCGAGGAUGACCUACAGAAUAAUUACACAAUUGAUUUUUUGAACUCGAUCACACCAAAUGGCUUGCCCCCACAUGUUUUGAAAUUAAAGGUCAACUGCCCGGUCAUUCUGCUACAGAACCUCGACCCUCAUAAUGGUCUAUGCAAUGGAACACGGCUUAUGAUCAAAGCCUUUCAGGAUAAUGCAAUCGAUGCAGAGAUUGUUGGUGGUCAGCAUGCUGGAAAGAGGGUGUUUAUACCUAGGAUCCCUAUGUCGCCCUCGGAGGACAUCUCACUUCCUUUCAAACUUAAGAGAAAACAGUUCCCCAUCCGUCUGAGUUUUGCGAUGACAAUUAACAAGGCACAGGGUCAGACCAUCCCAAAUGUUGGCAUUUACCUUCCCGAGCCAGUAUUCUCACAUGGUCAGCUAUAUGUUGCAUUGUCAAGAGGAGUGUCGAGAGAGACAACACGGAUUUUGGCCAAGCCAAACAAGGAUGUCGAUAAAUCCGGGAAAAGCACCAAGAACAUUGUCUACAAAGAUGUUUUGGAGAGAUGA